CCUACGGGAGGCAGCAGUGGGGAAUUUUGGACAAUGGGCGAAAGCCUGAUCCAGCCAUGCCGCGUGAGUGAAGAAGGCCUUCGGGUUGUAAAGCUCUUUUAGUCGGAAAGAAAGAGUUGCAAUGAAUAAUUGUGAUUUAUGACGGUACCGACAGAAAAAGCACCGGUUAACUACGUGCCAGCAGCCGCGGUAAU
rnacentral:rRNA from 1 species